GUUAUUUCGUUUACCCUGUAGUACCGAGCUGUGUUUUAGUACAUGAUUAUACACAAUCGGUUAUUGGGUAAAUGGCGUUAACC
rnacentral:pre_miRNA from 1 species